UACAGAGGUCUCGAGCGUUAGGCGGAAUCACUGGGCUUAAAGCGUGUGUAGGCGGGUCGUUAAGUGCCUUGUGAAAUCCCAUGGCUCAACCAUGGAACUGCUGGGCAUACUGGCGAUCUUGUGCAACCUAGGGGCGAGCGGAACAGAUGGUGGAGCGGUGAAAUGCGUAGAUAUCAUCUGGAACGCCAAUGGUGAAAACGGCUCGCUGGGGGUUUGCAGACGCUGAGACACGAAAGCCAGGGGAGCGAACGGG
rnacentral:rRNA from 1 species